UCGGGAGUUCAAGCAGCCCAGCGGUCGCUACUCCAUUGACGACGCUUUCA
rnacentral:RNase_MRP_RNA from 1 species